GCAGCAGUAGCUCAGCUGGUUAGAGCGCCGGUUUGUGGAGCCGGAGGCCGGUGGUUCGACCCCACCCUGCUGUACCA
rnacentral:tRNA from 1 species